AACGCGAAGAACCUUACCUGGAUUUGACAUCCUCUGAAAUUAGUAGAGAUAUUAAUGGCUCGCAAGAGACAGAGAGACAGGUGCUGCAUGGCUGUCGUCAGCUCGUGUUGUGAAAUGUUGGGUUAAGUCCCGCAACGAGCGCAACCCCUGCCUUUGGUUGCCAUCAUUAAGUUGGGCACUCCAGAGGGACUGCCGUCGUUAAGACGGAGGAAGGUGGGGAUGACGUCAAGUCCUCAUGGCCUUUAUAUCCAGGGCGACACACGUGAUACAAUGGUCGGUACAGAGGGCUGCAAGGUGGUGACACUAAGCAAAUCUCAAAAAGCCGAUCUCAGUUCGGAUUGGAGUCUGCAACUCGACUCCAUGAAGUUGGAAUCGCUAGUAAUCGCGGAUCAGCACGCCGCGGUGAAUACGUUCCCGGGCCUUGUACACACCGGUACUA
rnacentral:rRNA from 1 species